rnacentral:piRNA from 1 species
UUGUCCCAGCUGUCCCUCUAUUCUUGA